CGCGCUCAAGCGGGAGAGUUCCGUCGCCGCCAGCUACGGACGCCGAAGGAGCAACACCUCUCCGUCAACCUCUCAGGCACCCAGGACCGCGCGAGAUAA
rnacentral:ncRNA from 1 species